rnacentral:rRNA from 1 species
GCAGGGCGGGUUUCGGUAAAGACAGGAUGUGAAAUUCCCCCGGGGCUUAAACCAUGGGGAACCUGCAUUUGUGACUGGCGAGCUAAGAGGUAUGGGCAGAAGGGGGGGGUAGGAAAUUCCACGUGUAGCAGUGAAAGUGCGUAGAGAAUGUGGAGGAAAUACCGAUGGCGAAAGGCAGCCCCCUGGGCCAAUACUGACGCUCAUGCACGAAAGCGUGGGGAGCAAACAGGAUUAGAUACCCUGGUAGCCCACGCCCUAAACGAUGUCAACUAGUUGUUGGGUCUUCAUUGACUUAGUAACGUAGCUAACGCGUGAAGUUGACCGCCUGGGGAGUACGGUCGCAAGAUUAAAACUCAAAGGAAUUGACGGGGACCCGCACAAGCGGUGGAUGAUGUGGAUUAAUUCGAUGCAACGCGAAAAACCUUACCUACCCUUGACAUGGUCGGAACCCUGCUGAAAGGUGGGGGUGCUCGAAAGAGAACCGAUACACAGGUGCUGCAUGGCUGUCGUCAGCUCGUG